AUACGGAGGAUCCGAGCGUUAUCCGGAUUUAUUGGGUUUAAAGGGUGCGUAGGCGGACGAUUAAGUCAGCUGUGAAAUGCCCGCGCUUAACGCGGGAAGUGCAGUUGAUACUGGUUGUCUGGAGUGCCGUUGCCGUGGGGGGAAUGUGUAGUGUAGCGGUGAAAUGCAUAGAUAUUACACAGAACGCCGAUUGUGAAGACACCUCACGAAGCGGUAACUGACGCUGAGGCACGAAAGCGUGGGGAUCGAACAGGAUUAGAUACCCUGGUAGUCCACGCUGUAAACGAUGAAUACUAGGUGCUGGGAGACAAUAGUUUCUCGGUGCCGCAGCAAACGCAAUAAGUAUUCCACCUGGGGAGUACGUUCGCAAGAAUGAAACUCAAAUGAAUUGACGGGG
rnacentral:rRNA from 1 species